rnacentral:rRNA from 1 species
UACAGAGGGGGCAAGCGUUAUCCGGAUUCAUUGGGUUUAAAGGGUGCGUAGGCGGCCAGGUAAGUCAGUGGUGAAAUCUCCUUGCUUAACAAGGAAACUGCCAUUGAUACUGCUGGGCUUGAGUACAGAUGCUGUGGGCGGAAUAUGACAUGUAGUGGUGAAAUACAUAGAGAUGUCAUAGAACACCGAUUGCGAAGGCAGCUCACAAAACUGUAACUGACGCUGAGGCACGAAAGUGCGGGGAUCAAACAGG